rnacentral:lncRNA from 1 species
CAUAGAAUAUCUUUGAUCGGCAAAGCAUGGAAUGCCUUUGAUCGACAAAGUAUGAAAUGCUUUUGAUCGACAAAUCAUGAAAUGUCUUUGAUUGGCAAAACAUGGAAAUUCCCUCGAUCGACAAUAUGUGGAAUGCCUUUGAUCGGCAAAGCAUGGAAUACCUUGGAUCGGCAAUGCAUGGAAUGCCUUUGAUCAGAUGAAAUGCCUUUAAUCGGCCAAACAAUCGAAAUACUUUCGACUGAGGAGUCAUCAUUUUGACAUCAAUACUAUAAGGGUUUCAAAUCGACUUUGAGGUCAGAUUCUAAUACAGAAAGAUAGCUAACCUAGGAAUAGUCAAGCUACAACUCAUACACCAAUGUCGAGGGAGAUUCCUGAUCGAAAUAUUUUUGCGAUCUUAACUUGUUUAUCUAUAGCAAUACAUACAUACAUACAUACAU